UACGGGGGGGGCAAGCGUUGUUCGGAAUUACUGGGCGUAAAGGGCUCGUAGGUGGCCAACUAAGUCGGACGUGAAAUCCCUCGGCUUAACCGGGGAACUGCGCUUGAUACUGGAUGGCUUGAGAUUGGGAGAGGGAUGCGGAAUUCCAGGUGUAGCGGUGAAAUGCGUAGAUAUCUGGAGGAACACCGGUGGCGAAGGCGGCAUCCUGGACCAACACUGACGCUGAGGAGCGAAAGCCAGGGGAGCAAACGGG
rnacentral:rRNA from 1 species